rnacentral:rRNA from 1 species
UACGUAGGGGGCUAGCGUUGUCCGGAAUCAUUGGGCGUAAAGAGCGUGUAGGCGGUCCGGUAAGUCCGCUGUGAAAGUCGGGGGGCUCAACCCUCGAAUGCCGGUGGAUACUGUCGGGCUAGAGUGCGGAAGAGGCGAGUGGAAUUCCUGGUGUAGCGGUGAAAUGCGCAGAGUAUCAGGAGGAACACCUAUUGCGAAGGCAGCUCGCUGGGACGUAACUGACGCUGAGACGCGAAAGCGUGGGGAGCAAACAGG